GACGAACGCUGGCGGCGUGCUUAACACAUGCAAGUCGAACGAAGUGGCGAACGGGUGAGUAACGCGUAAUCAACCUGCACUUCAGAGGGGGACAACAGUUGGAAACGCCUGCUAAUACCGCAUACUGAAGGAGGGUAUUGCGUCUGAUUAGCUAGUUGGAGGGGUAACGGCCAACCAAGGCGAUGAUCAGUAGGCGGGCUGAGAGGAUGAACGGCCACAUUGGGACUGAGACACGGCCCAGACUCCUACGGGAGGCAGCAGGGGGGAAACUUCCGCAAUGGACGAAAGUCUGACGGAGCAACGCCGCGUGAGUGAUGACGGCCUUCGGGUUGGAAAGCUCUGUUAAUCGGGACGCGGUACCGGAAUAGAAAGCCACGGCUAACUACGUGCCAGCAGCCGCGGUAAUAC
rnacentral:rRNA from 1 species